rnacentral:sRNA from 1 species
CAUAUCAAUAAGCGGAGGAAAAGAAACCAACAGGGGAUUGCCCUAGUAACGGCGAGUGAAGCGGCAACAGCUCAAAUUUGAAAUCUGGCGUCUUUGGCGUCCGAGUUGUAAUUUGCAGAGGGCGCUUUGGCAUUGGCAGCGGUCCAAGUUCCUUGGAACAGGACGUCACAGAGGGUGAGAAUCCCGUACGUGGUCGCUAGCCUUUACCGUGUAAAGCCCCUUCGACGAGUCGAGUUGUUUGGGAAUGCAGCUCUAAAUGGGAGGUAAAUUUCUUCUAAAGCUAAAUACUGGCCAGAGACCGAUAGCGCACAAGUAGAGUGAUCGAAAGAUGAAAAGCACUUUGGAAAGAGAGUUAAAAAGCACGUGAAAUUGUUGAAAGGGAAGCGCUUGCAGCCAGACUUGCCUGUAGUUGCUCAUCCGGGUUUCUACCCGGUGCACUCUUCUAUAGGCAGGCCAGCAUCAGUUUGGGCGGUUGGAUAAAGGUCUCUGUCAUGUACCUCUCUUCGGGGAGAACUUAUAGGGGAGACGACAUGCAACCAGCCUGGACUGAGGUCCGCGCAUCUGCUAGGAUGCUGGCGUAAUGGCUGUAAGCGGCCCGUCUUGAAACACGGACCAAGGAGUCUAACAUCUAUGCGAGUGUUUGGGUGUCAAGCCCGAGCGCGUAAUGAAAGUGAACGGAGGUGGGAACCUUUCGGGGUGCACCAUCGACCGAUCCUGAUGUCUUCGGAUGGAUUUGAGUAAGAGCAUAGCUGUUGGGACCCGAAAGAUGGUGAACUAUGCUUGAAUAGGGUGAAGCCAGAGGAAACUCUGGUGGAGGCUCGCAGCGGUUCUGACGUGCAAAUCGAUCGUCAAAUUUGGGCAUAGGGGCGAAAGACUAAUCGAACUAUCUAGUAG